GUAUUUGUUGUUUCUAGAAUACCAAGUCAGCAUCUAGUUGGUGUUUCAUGGUCCAAUUAAAACUUGACACCUGUAUGAAAUGACAGGUCAGGAUACUAGCUCAUUUAAAUUAAAAGUACAGAAAUGCCCUUGAAAAUUUUCAAACUCCCGCCCCUUUAACACGCUUUACACUUUCAUAAAAUCGAAAGAUUAUCUUCUCCUUCUUUCUCUGUUUCUCUCUAGUACAACAGUACACACCAGCCCCUUGCACCUCCAUGUACUCUCUCUCUCAACUCCAAAGUUUGACAUCCACUGCUUAGCAUCGCCGCCGGAUAUAGAGACACACAGCUAAACAUUACCAGUUCCUACGAGACCGGCCUUUGUCUUGUCGGAAAACGCCUAAAACCAUCUCUUCUUCUCGUUGUUUCCAAAUUCCAACCUUCGACACCAGAAGUUUUCUCGUACUUCCAACAAAUAACGUUGCAAGAAGGUUGUCCAUUAUUACCAAUCUUUGUUUUUCUCUCCAAAAAAAAGUCUUUGUUGAGUGUACAUGAUGACCAGAGAGUUGAUAAUCCAAAAGACUUGGGAGUCAGGCCCAGUGGAGGAGAGAGUUGCUUGGACUUGCUGAAGACUUUAGAAUGCGACAAGAAUUUGGAGAUACACUGCUAAACAUUACCAGUGCCAUAAGAAUUGCCCAUCACCAUCACCAUCUUUCUCUUUCUUUUUCUUUUUUGGGCUUGUUAAUUUUAUUCAUGAGUACUGCUCGUCUACUAAUUAUAUGUAGUUUUCCAAUUGGGUUAGUAUGUUUUUCUUGAAUUCUAAUAUACUUUAUUGGGGCUAGAUUCUUUACUUUGAUAAAUUUUGACCACCAAGUUUGAGAAUUUGGUGUUUAUUUAUUUGGUCAAGUUGUUUUUAUGUUGGACACAUUCAAUUGCAACCAAAAAUAGAGGAAGGGAAUUUGCUAAAUUCAAUUGGGUAGGAUAGUUUACCUAGUUAUCUCUGUUUGAUUAAUUGCACAAAAUUUUGAUGGCUAUGAAUGCUUGAUUUAACCAUUUUGUUUGAUUUAAAUGAAUUAUCAGAGCAAUACAGCGUUUUCUUGG